rnacentral:rRNA from 1 species
GACGAACGCUGGCGGCGUGCCUAAUACAUGCAAGUCGAACGCACUCUCGUUUAGAUUGAAGGAGCUUGCUCCUGAUUGAUAAAACAUUUGAGUGAGUGGCGGACGGGUGAGUAACACGUGGGUAACCUGGCCCUAAAGUGGGGGAUAAACAUUUGGAAACAGAUGCUAAUACCGCAUAAAACCUAACACCGCAUGGUGUAGGGGUUGAAAGAUGGUUUCGGCUAUCACUUUAGGAUGGACCCGCGGUGCAUUAGUUAGUUGGUGAGGUAAAGGCUCACCAAGACCGUGAUGCAUAGCCGACCCUGAGAGGGUAAUCGGCCACACUGGGACUGAGACACGGCCCAGACUCCUACGGGA